rnacentral:rRNA from 1 species
GAUGAACGCUGGCGGCGUGCCUAAUACAUGCAAGUCGAGCGAACGGACGAGAAGCUUGCUUCUCUGAUGUUAGCGGCGGACGGGUGAGUAACACGUGGAUAACCUACCUAUAAGACUGGGAUAACUUCGGGAAACCGGAGCUAAUACCGGAUAAUAUUUUGAACCGCAUGGUUCAAAAGUGAAAGACGGUCUUGCUGUCACUUAUAGAUGGAUCCGCGCUGCAUUAGCUAGUUGGUAAGGUAACGGCUUACCAAGGCAACGAUGCAUAGCCGACCUGAGAGGGUGAUCGGCCACACUGGAACUGAGACACGGUCCAGACUCCUACGGGAGGCAGCAAUAGGGAAUCUUCCGCAAUGGGCGAAAGCCUGACGGAGCAACGCCGCGUGAGUGAUGAAGGUCUUCGGAUCGUAAAACUCUGUUAUUAGGGAAGAACAUAUGUGUAAGUAACCGUGCACAUCUUGACGGUACCUAAUCAGAAAGCCACGGCUAACUACGUG